UAGUAUGUCCAGGAUAUAGCAGUGA
rnacentral:piRNA from 1 species